AUGGCGUCCAAGUCCACCGCUUGUUUCCCGGCGCUCUUCCUGGCGCUCAACCUCCUCCUGGUCGCCGGCGUCCGCGGCCAGAGCCGCAACCCGUGCCCGACGAACGCGCUGGCCGACCUCAAGGUGUGCGCCGACGUGCUGGUGCUGCUCAAGCUCAAGAUCAACGUGCCGGCCAACCAGCAGUGCUGCCCGAUGAUCGGGCAGCUCGUCAAGCUCGACGUCGCCGCCUGCCUCUGCGCCGCCAUCAAGCUCAGCGUCAUCGGCAUCCCCAUCAACCUGCCGCUCGACAUCCCCCUCGUCCUCAACUACUGCGGCCGGAACGCAACCGCAGCCGGCUCCAAAUGCUCGUGA
rnacentral:rRNA from 1 species